rnacentral:rRNA from 1 species
CCCUCCCUUGUUUCUCCCGCCUAUAUACCACCGUCGUCAGCUUACCCUGUGAAGGAUUUAUAGUGAGCACAACUGGCAAAGCCCAGAACGUCAGGUCGAGGUGUAGUGCAUGAGAGGGGAAGAAAUGGGCUACAUUCGCUGCCCCAGCGAACACGAAUGAUGCAUUGAAACAUGCAGCUGAAGGUGGAUUUAGCAGUAAGUAGGAAGCAGAGAGUCCCACUGAAACCGGCUCUUAAGCGUGCACACACCGCCCGUCACCCUCCCCAAGCCCCUGGACCUAAACUUCCCAUCAAACCACAACAAACGCGAAGGUGAGGAAAGUCGUAACAUGGUAAGCGUACCGGAAGGUGCGCUUGGUAAAAU